GACGAACCGUGCGAACGUUGUUCGGAAUCACUGGGCUUAAAGGGCGCGUAGGCGGGCUGACGAGUCCGGGGUGAAAUCCUCCCGCUCAACGGGAGAACGGCCCCGGGUACUGUCGGCCUCGAGGCGGGUAGGGGCGUGCGGAACUCUGGGUGGAGCGGUGAAAUGCGUUGAUAUCCAGAGGAACUCCGGUGGCGAAGGCGGCACGCUGGACCCGAUCUGACGCUGAGGCGCGAAAGCCAGGGGAGCGAACGGG
rnacentral:rRNA from 1 species